rnacentral:rRNA from 1 species
AGAACGAACGCUGGCGGCAUGCCUAACACAUGCAAGUCGAACGCUUGCCGAGGCUUCGGUUUCGGCAGGAGUGGCGCACGGGUGAGUAGCGCGUGGGAACCUGCCUUGGAGUGGGGGACAACCGAGGGAAACUUCGGCUGAUACCGCAUACGCCGGUUGUCUUGCAAGAGACGGCCGGGAAAGAUUUAUCGCUCCGAGAGGGGCCCGCGUCGGAUUAGGUAGUUGGCGGGGUAACGGCCCACCAAGCCUGUGAUCCGUAGCUGGUCUGAGAGGAUGAUCAGCCACACUGGGACUGAGACACGGCCCAGACUCCUACGGGAGGCAGCAGUGGGGAAUAUUGGACAAUGGGCGCAAGCCUGAUCCAGCAAUGCCGCGUGAGUGAUGAAGGCCUUCGGUUGUAAAGCUCUUUCGCCCGCGACGAUGAUGACGGUAGCGGGAGAAGAAGCCCGGCUAACUUCGUGCCAGCAGCCGCGGU